UAGCACGGUUUGUUGUGCUACUUUGUGUGAAGAUAUCAUGACUUGUGUAAUUUCAUCUUCUCGAUUCACACUCUCCAUCUCCAAAUCCAUUGGCCUCUGCCCAUGUCCAAGGUCUAGGGUUUUUCCAUCUUCUUCUCCUCUUUCUCUCCACUCUUCGAUUCGGAAAUCCCAUCCAUUUUGCUCCGCCUCCAUGAGUCAAUCCGCUGAAACUAAUUCCGUUUCUACACCGGACGACGCCGGAGUACAGGCGGAGGAGACACCCGACGUUUUGAUUCAGUACGUGGUGCUUCGGAGAGAUCUGAUUGAUUCCUGGCCGCUUGGUAGCGUCGUAACUCAGGGAUGCCAUGCUUCUGUCUCUGCCAUUUGGUUGACUAAAGAUGAUCCCCACACUUCCGACUACUGUAAUCCAGAUAAUAUCGAUUCUAUGCAUAAGGUUACUCUUGAAGUGAAGGGAGAAACUCAAAUGGUUAACUUAUCAGAGAAGCUCAAAGCAAACUCAAUCGUUCAUAAAUUAUGGAUAGAACAACCAGAGAACAUUCCAACAUGUCUUGCUACAAAACCCUACCCCAAAUCUGUUGUAUCACCAUUUUUUAAAAAGCUAAAACUCUAUAAAGAGAUCGUGGGGCAAACACUAAGUAGCUUAUAAUCAUAAAAGAGAAACGUGGGAGAAGAAAGGCAAAAGAUUUCAUGCAAUCAAGUCUGGUUUUGGGAAAGUUGUGCGCUUUGAAGAUUUUAUAGGGAAAGAUAAGGAAGUUUCAUGGAAUUUGUGGUUAAACCGCGUAUCUAGAAGAUUCUGACCCACUCCCGAAACAAGGAGAAGAAAAGUAUUGGAUCCUGAAGAAAAUUUCGGCCUCUUAUUGACAAUAAUAAUAACAAUAGAUUAUUAUAACACGUGGACUUUUGACUUUUGACUUUGACCAAUCCUUUUGGCUUCUUUGUCAAUUCUCAAUCGAAUUUAUCCUUCUAAUCCUUCCCACUUGCUUUUGGAGUAUUUAAUUUGGGAUAUUAGGUAGUCAUGAGAAUAAUCUUAGUGUGCGUGCUUUGGUUGCUGUUCAGAAUCAGGUGAGCUUUAAAUAUCGUUUUGCUUUUAGUUGUCGGCUUGGAUUUUAUUUUGGUAUUUGUUUUUCUAAAAUGUUUGUUACGGUCUCGUCCUCUUAAUUUUAUUUAUUUUAGUUUCUAUACUUUCUAAAAUUCGGCCGUGGUCUUUUAGUACUUCAAAUUUUGAAAAUUUUGUUAUGCAAAAUUAACUCUUUAAUAUGGGAUUAUAGUCAAGUUUUAAGAAUUUAGUGAAUGAAAUGUCAUACAACUCAAUUUUGAUCUCAACUCAAUAUUAUAAUAUGAAAAUAUAGGAACAGUAAUGGUCAAAUUUUUUAUUUUUUUUAAAAAGUAAAGGAACUAAAACAAACAUUGUGAAAGUUAUGAGGCUUACAAUAAACAAUAAUAGUUUCCGGUAAUAUCAGUUAUUGAUUAUAUGCUUUAUUUAUUACUAUAUUAGUUUGAGCCAAUCCAAAUUGAUUGACAAAUUCAAUUGGUUGGAUUUUAUUAAAAAUAUAUAGUUAUAAAAAUCAAAUUGAUUAACUAAUGGUGGGCAUGAGCAUAAUUUAACGUCAGUUGUAAAUUGUAAUGUGACAUGUUCUUGAAAAAAAAAACCAUAUCUAUUAUCAAUCAGGCAUGAUUUUGAGUAGUUUUGAAAUUAUUAACCUCUAAUUUCAAGAUUACUCCCAAAUAUAACUUUAAUCACUUGAAAUUUAUUUAAUAUUUAAUUUUAGGGUUUUUUAAAAUAAAAAAAAAAUUGAUAAACUAUUUAACAAAAUUUGACAUUUGAUUUUUUAGGAAGGGUAAAUAUUUCGAUAAAUAUUCUAAUUUUUAUGAUACUUGUAAAUAUAAAUUUUAUAUUAUCAAAAUUGGUUUUGAAUCAUAAAAUCUAUGGUCAUAGUGACUUAGUUACUGUUUAGUUUUUAAACUUUUUUUUAUUAUGUUUUCAAGAUUUCUUCGCAUUUAUUCCUUUAUCUUCCCCUCUGUGCACAGACAAAAUGGUUUCUAUAGUCUUGGCAUCGUUGCACUUAGAAUGCUGUGCUAAUUUAAGAUUUAAUGCUAAAACAAAAAGAGAGCGAGAAAAAGAAAAAAAAAAGUUUGAAGAUAAGUUUGUUUAGUAACUUUUGUUUUUAAAAAUAAAGUAAAAAAUGUCUUUGUUUAAAAGAAUAUAUCUACUUUUGUUUUCCCUUAAAACAAUGUUCAAAUGUUAGUUAGAUAUAAAAAAAAAUGCAAAAUGAGUCCGUGGUAUAGGGUACAAUUAUUUAUUUAUUUGUUGUUGAAGACAUUCUUGUCCUAGAACUAAGAGCUUGGAUUUAGCCAUUAAAUUUUUUAUAUGAUAAUUGGUGUUUUUAUUAAAUAAACCUAACAUUUCAAUUUAAAGUGACAAAUCUGUAUAUUUACGAGGAUCGAAAGAUUUCCCUAUAUCUAAUUAAUGUGAAAUCUUCGAUAGUCGUAUCUAUGGGAAAAUUCAUACUAUCCCCAUAUUUAGGUUAAAGAAAAACACUAAAUUAAACUAUAAUUAGUAUUCUAGACUUUUGAAUUAUUCAUCUGACCUUUGAAAUUUGGAAUUUUUUUACCAAAUCAUCUCUUGAAUCUAAACACAUACUAAAAGUAAAUUGGGGAUUGGAGUUGGCCAAAUAAAAUUCAUAAAUGAAAGAGUGGAAAAUGAACUUAGGCUUCGUGUUUUUAAUUUUUUACGUAUGUGUUUAAAUUUAUUCACAUAGAAAGAUAUAGUGUUGUUAGUACGAUAAUUUUCAAAAACUAAAUUGUUUAUUUUUUAUAA